rnacentral:rRNA from 1 species
GACGAACGCUGGCGGCGUGCUUAACACAUGCAAGUCGAACGGAAAGGCCUGCUUUCCCUUGUGGAUUGCGGGUACUCGAGUGGCGAACGGGUGAGUAACACGUGAGUGAUCUGCCCCCAACUUGGGUAUAAGCCUGGGAAACUGGGUCUAAUUCCCGAUAGGACUGCAGGGUGGUGCCUGUGGUGGAAAACGAUUUUCUAGUGGUUGGGGAUGAGCUCGCGGCCUAUCAGCUUGUUGGUGGGGUAAUGGCCUACCAAGGCGGCGACGGGUAGCCGGCCUGAGAGGGUGGACGGCCACAUUGGGACUGAGAUACGGCCCAGACUCCUACGGGAGGCAGCAGUGGGGAAUAUUGCACAAUGGGCGGAAGCCUGAUGCAGCGACGCCGCGUGGGGGAUGACGGCCUUCGGGUUGUAAACUCCUUUCGACCGCGAGGAAGCCACCUGGUUGGAAGGGUGGUGACGGUAGUGGUAGAAGAAGCACCGGCUAACUACGUG